UUUAAAUACAGUAAUUUGGUCUUGAAACUGACAAAAAGUGUGCAGUAAUCAAUCAAGCUUUUUGAAGCAAGUAAUAUUAAUCACGGAAAAGUAAUCGUAUUCCUAUAGUCAUAAAAGACAAAGUGGUUCGUCAAAAUUGGAAAGAGGUCGACAGCAACAAUCUAGAAGAAACUGCUACUAAUAAAAGAACACAUAAUAUCAAAGAAGAAGAAGUAGGCGAUAACAUAAAAUUUAUCAAAGAAAAAGACGAAGAAAUAAUUAUCAACAAUGAAGACCACACUAUUUAUAGUAAUGUGCAUAGCAAUUACCAACUGUGCAGUACCAAGACUGUGGAGAACCCAUCAGAUGGAUAAAGCAGAAGAACAUAGACUAGAAAAAAGAGACCUUGAAGAAGUUAACGUAACUAAUCCCGCUGCAUUAGAUGAAAUCAAUAAUAUUUUGAAUAUCAUCAAAGCAUCAGUUAAUAGUUCUGGUGUAAAUCUUGGAACGAAUUGUACUCAAGAUGAUACAACAAUUGUUUGUAAAGUUUUUUUACCAACAAACUUUACUAAUGCCUUGGUUGCUAAUUAUUGUCCUGAUGGUAAGGACAGAGCUGCUGAUGGAAGUUGCGUUGAAGAGAUCUAGAAAUAAUUAAAAGAAAUGUGAAUAGACGCCAUUAUAGAGAGUCAUUUAAAAUCAAAGAGAAAGAAAACCAUGAUCCAAUUAAUAAUCAAAGUGUUGCAAUAGAAAGCGAUAAGGAUAUGGAUAUUAAUAAGAAUUCAGCAGAAAAUGGACUAGAACUUGCAUUUGUAAAAAAUCUGGCGAAUGAUAACGAAUAUGACAAACAUACAGCUGUUAGAGAUACAGUCAAAAGAAAUUACAGAAAUAAAAGACAUGAAUUUGAAAGAAAUAAAAGGAAGCAACGUGUGGAUGGUUUCAGGAAGAAUAGUAUUCACGAUGGUGAUAUUUUAUUUGAUAUUUUUACAAUACCUGAAUGCAGUUUUGGAAAGGAGAGAGCUGAUGAUGGAAACUGUGUAUCAAUAGAAAUGGCUGCAAACUCUAGCGAACUGCUAGAUAUUGAUGAAAGAAUAAAUUUAACAACGUGGAUAGGGAAUUGAAACAUAUUGGAUAAUAUGUUUCAAACACAUGAAGAAGUAACUAAAGACAUUGAAAAUUAGGUUAAACUUUAUUCUCAAUUUCAAAUUGUAAAAGGUUAUGAAGAAUAAAAAUGUUUCAAGUAUUUUAUA